AUUGAACGCUGGCGGCAUGCCUUACACAUGCAAGUCGAACGGCAGCGGACCUUCGGGUGCCGGCGAGUGGCGAACGGGUGAGUAAAGUAUCGGAACGUACCUUUCAGUGGGGGAUAACGUAGCGAAAGUUACGCUAAUACCGCAUAUUCUGUGAGCAGGAAAGCAGGGGAUCGCAAGACCUUGCGCUGAUUGAGCGGCCGAUAUCAGAUUAGCGAGUUGGUGAGGUAAAGGCUCACCAAGGCGACGAUCUGUAGCGGGUCUGAGAGGAUUAUCCGCCACACUGGAGCUUAGACACGGUCCAGACUCCUACGGGAGGCAGCAGUGGGGAAUUUUGGACAAUGGGGGCAACCCUGAUCCAGCCAUGCCGCGUGAGUGAAGAAGGCCUUCGUGUUGUAAAGCUCUUUCGGCCGGGAAGAAAUCGCGCCAGUUAAUACCUGGUGUGGAUGACGGUACCGGAAUAAGAAGCACCGGCUAACUACGUGCCAGCCGCCGCAGUAAGAC
rnacentral:rRNA from 1 species